rnacentral:tRNA from 1 species
GGGGUAGUGGCUCAGCGGUAGAGCGCUUGCCUAGCCUAUGCAAGGACCUGGGUUCAAUCCUCAGCACCACA